rnacentral:rRNA from 1 species
CGAACGGGUGAGUAACGCGUGAGGAACCUGCCUCAAAGAGGGGGACAGCAGUUGGAAACGACUGCUAAUACCGCAUAAGCCCACGGGUCGGCAUCGACCUGAGGGAAAAGGAGCAAUCCGCUUUGAGAUGGCCUCGCGUCCGAUUAGCUAGUUGGUGAGGUAACGGCCCACCAAGGCGACGAUCGGUAGCCGGACUGAGAGGUUGAACGGCCACAUUGGGACUGAGACACGGCCCAG